rnacentral:rRNA from 1 species
AACGAACGCUGGCGGCGUGCCUAACACAUGCAAGUCGAGCGAGAAAGACCUUCGGGUCGAGUACAGCGGCGGACGGGUGAGUAACGCGUGAGAAUCUACCCUUUAGUGAAGGAUACCCUCGAGAAAUUGAGGUUAAUACUGCAUACGUUCCUUCGGGAAGAAAAGUGGCCUCUUUGCUGCUGCUAAUGGAUGAGCUUGCGUACUAUUAUCUAGUUGGUGGGGUAAAGGCCUACCAAGGCGAAGCUGGUUAGCCGGCCUGAGAGGGUGUACGGCCAGUCUGGAAGCGAGACUCGGCCCAGCCUCCUACGGGAGGCAGUCGUGUGGCAUAUGGGACAAAGGUGGGAUCCCUGACCCAGCCAUACCGCGUGUGUGAAGAAGGCCUUAUCGUUGUAAAGCACUUUAAGCGAGGAGGAGGCUCUUUUGGUUAAUAACCACGAUGAGUGGCCGUUACUCGCAGACUAAGCACCGGCUAACUCUGUGCCAGCCGCCGCCGUAA